CUUAUUUCUUGUGUAUCACUGUCACUGUGAUUCACUUUGCUCUGUCUUAAUUGUUUAUUAAGAAGUCGACAAACAGCAGCUGGGAACAAAGUCAUGAAGUUCCAAAGAACCUUCUGAUGCCAGCUGAAAUCGAUGAACGAGUUAUUGCUGAGUUCAGAAGAUCCUGAAUCCUAAAAUGUUAACAACCAUUCCCUUGGAAGAUGCUGCACAUUAAUCACUUUGUA
rnacentral:lncRNA from 1 species